rnacentral:rRNA from 1 species
AAAUUGAAGAGUUUGAUCAUGGCUCAGAUUGAACGCUGGCGGCAGGCCUAACACAUGCAAGUCGAACGGUAACAGGAAGCAGCUUGCUGCUUUGCUGACGAGUGGCGGACGGGUGAGUAAUGUCUGGGAAACUGCCUGAUGGAGGGGGAUAACUACUGGAAACGGUGGCUAAUACCGCAUAACGUCGCAAGACCAAAGAGGGGGACCUUCGGGCCUCUUGCCAUCAGAUGUGCCCAGAUGGGAUUAGCUUGUUGGUGAGGUAACGGCUCACCAAGGCGACGAUCCCUAGCUGGUCUGAGAGGAUGACCAGCCACACUGGAACUGAGACACGGUCCAGACUCCUACGGGAGGCAGCAGUGGGGAAUAUUGCACAAUGGGCGCAAGCCUGAUGCAGCCAUGCCGCGUGUAUGAAGAAGGCCUUCGGGUUGUAAAGUACUUUCAGCGGGGAGGAAGGUGUUGUGGUUAAUAACCGCAGCAAUUGACGUUACCCGCAGAAGAAGCACCGGCUAACUCCGUGCCAGCAGCCGCGGUAAUACGGAGGGUGCAAGCGUUAAUCGGAAUUACUGGGCGUAAAGCGCACGCAGGCGGUCUGUCAAGUCGGAUGUGAAAUCCCCGGGCUCAACCUGGGAACUGCAUUCGAAACUGGCAGGCUUGAGUCUUGUAGAGGGGGGUAGAAUUCCAGGUGUAGCGGUGAAAUGCGUAGAGAUCUGGAGGAAUACCGGUGGCGAAGGCGGCCCCCUGGACAAAGACUGACGCUCAGGUGCGAAAGCGUGGGGAGCAAACAGGAUUAGAUACCCUGGUAGUCCACGCCGUAAACGAUGUCUACUUGGAGGUUGUGCCCUUGAGGCGUGGCUUCCGGAGCUAACGCGUUAAGUAGACCGCCUGGGGAGUACGGCCGCAAGGUUAAAACUCAAAUGAAUUGACGGGGGCCCGCACAAGCGGUGGAGCAUGUGGUUUAAUUCGAUGCAACGCGAAGAACCUUACCUGGUCUUGACAUCCACGGAAGUUUUCAGAGAUGAGAGUGUGCCUUCGGGAACCGUGAGACAGGUGCUGCAUGGCUGUCGUCAGCUCGUGUUGUGAAAUGUUGGGUUAAGUCCCGCAACGAGCGCAACCCUUAUCCUUUGUUGCCAGCGGUCCGGCCGGGAACUCAAAGGAGACUGCCAGUGAUAAACUGGAGGAAGGUGGGGAUGACGUCAAGUCAUCAUGGCCCUUACGACCAGGGCUACACACGUGCUACAAUGGCGCAUACAAAGAGAAGCGACCUCGCGAGAGCAAGCGGACCUCAUAAAGUGCGUCGUAGUCCGGAUUGGAGUCUGCAACUCGACUCCAUGAAGUCGGAAUCGCUAGUAAUCGUGGAUCAGAAUGCCACGGUGAAUACGUUCCCGGGCCUUGUACACACCGCCCGUCACACCAUGGGAGUGGGUUGCAAAAGAAGUAGGUAGCUUAACCUUCGGGAGGGCGCUUACCACUUUGUGAUUCAUGACUGGGGUGAAGUCGUAACAAGGUAACCGUAGGGGAACCUGCGGUUGGAUCACCUCCUUACCUUAAAGAA